AGGCAGUCCUGAUUAAGGGAUGGAGUAGAUAAUUCUAGAUCGGAGGGAGCAGGGCCUCCUUAGAGCUCUUUUCGUCUUUCUGUCUUUUCAUGUAUUUACUUCCCUUUUUGUCGUUUUGCCUUUCUUUCCUUGGCCUUCCGGGCUUUGUAGCAUGUAUAUCGGAAAUGGAAUGAAAAGGGCAUUUUGUGUUACCUCGUCCGCG
rnacentral:lncRNA from 1 species